UACGUAGGUGGCGAGCGUUGUCCGGAUUUACUGGGCGUAAAGGGAGCGUAGGCGGACUUUUGAGUGAGAUGUGAAAUACUCGGGCUCAACUUGAGUGCUGCAUUUCAAACUGGAAGUCUAGAGUGCAGGAGAGGAGAAUGGAAUUCCUAGUGUAGCGGUGAAAUGCGUAGAGAUUAGGAAGAACACCAGUGGCGAAGGCGAUUCUCCGGACUGUAACUGACGCUGAGGCUCGAAAACGUGGGGAGCAAACAGG
rnacentral:rRNA from 1 species